rnacentral:rRNA from 1 species
UACGUAGGGUGCGAGCGUUAAUCGGAAUUACUGGGCGUAAAGCGUGCGCAGGCGGUUUUGUAAGCCAGAUGUGAAAUCCCCGGGCUUAACCUGGGAAUGGCAUUUGGGACUGCAAGGCUGGAGUGUGGCAGAGGAGACUGGAAUGCUUGGUGUAGCAGUGAAAUGCGUAGAUAUCAAGCGGAACACCAGUGGCGAAGGCGAGUCCCUGGACAACUCCUGACACUGAUGCACGAAAGCUAGGGGAGCAAACAGG